rnacentral:rRNA from 1 species
UUCGGGCGGAAGACUUUGGUGACUUAGUGGCGGACGGGUGAGUAACGCGUGGGUAACCUGCCCUGUACUGGGGGACAACAGUUGGAAACGACUGCUAAUACCGCAUAAGCGCACAGCAUCGCAUGAUGCAGUGUGAAAAACUCCGGUGGUACAGGAUGGACCCGCGUCUGAUUAGCUAGUUGGUGAGGUAACGGCUUACCAAGGCAACGAUCAGUAGCCGACUUGAGAGAGUGAUCGGCCACAUUGGGACUGAGACACGGCCCAAACUCC